GGAUGAUCGGGAAGUGUAGGAUCAAACGGUUGACUCUUUCGGGGAGAAAAAAGCCCUGAAAAGAAAGACGCCCUGUGGAAACGCAGGGAGAGCGUCUCGGAUCAUUGACAACUAAAUAGGAGCAGCAACGUCCAAUUAAAGGGCCCUGAUCACGAAACACAGGAACAAAAUGAAUCUGGAGAGUUUGAUCCUGGCUCAGAACGAACGCUGGCGGCGUGCCUAACACAUGCAAGUCCAACGUGAAAGGGGAGCAAUCCCCCGGUAGGGUGGCAAACGGGUGAGUAAUACAUGGGUGAUCUACCUUAGGGAUGGGGGAUAUCCUUCCG
rnacentral:rRNA from 1 species